rnacentral:rRNA from 1 species
AGAACGAACGCUGGCGGCAUGCCUAAUACAUGCAAGUCGAACGAACACUUCGGUGUUAGUGGCGCACGGGUGCGUAACGCGUGGGAAUCUGCCCUUGGGUUCGGAAUAACAGUUGGAAACGACUGCUAAUACCGGAUGAUAUCGAAAGAUCAAAGAUUUAUCGCCCAGGGAUGAGCCCGCGUAGGAUUAGCUAGUUGGUGAGGUAAAGGCUCACCAAGGCGACGAUCCUUAGCUGGUCUGAGAGGAUGAUCAGCCACACUGGGACUGAGACACGGCCCAGACUCCUACGGGAGGCAGCAGUAGGGAAUAUUGGACAAUGGGCGCAAGCCUGAUCCAGCAAUGCCGCGUGAGCGAUGAAGGCCUUAGGGUUGUAAAGCUCUUUUACCCGAGAUGAUAAUGACAGUAUCGGAGAAUAAGCCCCGGCUAACUCCGCGCCAGCAGCCGC